GCCCCCUGCAAUGGAAGCAUGGAAGUUCAGAGUCUUAACCACUAGAUCGCCAGGGAAGUCCCUUUCCAGCUUUAUUUAUUUAUUUAUGUCUAUUUAUUUUUGCCCAUAUUGAGGUAUGCCAAGGCCAUAUCAGAGGUCUGAUGACCAGGGAAGAUAAGACCAGCAAAGCAAGCCAACAGGAGAAGGUCUAGACAACCUCCCUGCAGGGACCACACAGAGGGUGUGGUACUUACCUGCUUCCAUCUUAUAUUUUAGGGAUGGGUGGAGUCCAAGACAAGGUGGACACUUGGAAAAUGUAAUGAAAUUGUCUAUCUCUGGGGUAGUCUGUUUACUCCUCGAGAUCAGGGCAUGUCAGAUUCCUCAGAGCACAGGACUGGCUCAGAGCAGCCUCAGUAAGUACUUAACCUGAACUGAUCCUUAGGAAGCCCAGGGCACAAUAUUGGGCAGUAGAACAAACAAGUGUCAGCCCACAAGCUCUUACAUCGAUUUAUUCUGACCCUCCUCUCCAUGGAGAGUCAGAGAACAGGCUUCCCUGACUUAGGCAAGUUCUCCAUCAAGGGGAUUCGGAGACUUCAGCUGAGAAGAUCCAUCUCUCUUGGAACCAGACAAUGAACAGUUGAAGCAGGACAAGUGCAGCACCCAGCCUGAAGCUGAGAGCCUGGGUGCAUCCAAGCUGCCCUACUGGGAGGCCCCAAGGGAACAGCACCAGGAAAUGCAUAUCACAGAUGCCCUCAGAAACAGAGAGACCCAAGGCCAAGGAGCGGUAUGCAACAGCAAGCAGGCUUUAAUCAAGGGUGAAAACCAGCGUGACCCUAGCUUCUUCGGUUACACUGACUUCUCUUUUAUCCUCAGGACAUAGACAGGAAGGAGGCCUGUUUUCUAAGGACAACCUUUUUAGGAAUCAAUCUGUGAAGGGAGCAGAAAUCAGUCUCCAUCCCCAAACUGUUUCACGUGCUGGUUCGGAUCUCUCUCACUCUGGUUGGCUUGCGGUCUGUUUUCAAGCAUUUUCCUUCCUUGAGAACAGGAGUCUUCUCACAUUCAUCUGUGUUUUGAGGCACUGGGUAUAAGGGAAGGAACCUGGGAAUUAAGCUGCCUUUACACUAGCUGUUCCCUCCGCCUAGAGCACUCUUCCCCAGAUAUCCGCGUGGCUACUCCCUCAUCUCCUUUACCCUUCAAAUCGUUCCUCAAAUAUUACCUUCUCAACAAGGCUGUAUUACAAUCUGCUCCCUCUGCCAAUCCUCCAGUUUUCCCAAUCUCCCUUACUUUGCUCUAUAUUUUUUCAUAGCUCUUAAUAACUUCUGUCUUUGCUUUUCCUGCAGUAUGAAUAUGAUAUGCCUAGUUAUAUCAUAACAUUAUAUAUAUAUAUAUAAUAUUGACUGUGUCUUCGUAUUAGUAGAAUGUAAGCUCCAUAAGAGCAGGAAUUUUUGUUUGUUUUGUUGACUGAUAAAGUGCAUAGAAAUGGCACACAAAAGGCACUCAACAAAUGAGUGUCUGAAUGAAAAGGGAAACCUAGGUUUGGAUCUCGCCCUGUCGCUUACCAGUCAGCUGUGCGCCUUUGACAAUUUGCUCCUCCCUCAGGCCCAGUUUCUUCAUCUAUGAGAUUGGAGUCCAAGCACCCACCUCACUGGAUUAUGCAUGUGAAGUGCCUGGCACUAUCUAUUGAUAGUUAAUAAACGGGCCGGUCAAUUGACCUAAUUACUGCCCCUCUCAAACGCUUCACCUUCCCAUCUGUUGUAAGUACCCUUUACUCGGAGCCAUCGCUAAGGCAAUUAAGACCUUUAGGUCUGGGGCUGUGAUGGGGGAUGAGGGCAUGAGGCCAUGAAAAACCCAGAGAUCUGAAGAUUCUCUCUUUCUGGUGCCAGCUGAGCUGACUCAAGGGCAGCUGACCUCAGGCUCUCAGCAGGCCCCGCACCCCAAUUACAUGGCAGCAGAAGAUCUGGAACCAAUCUACUGGUUCUGUGAGAAAUCUGAGCCCUCCUCUGACCUGCUAAACCACGUUUGACACAGUUGAUUUUCUAAGCCCUCUGAUCACCAGGGAUCAAGCCUGCAGCAGGGAAAGAAACUCAGAGCUCACCAGGACCUCACAGGAGUGGAAUUGCUGGAUCAUAUGGUAGUGCUACAACUAAAGUGAAUCUACACAUGGUAACAUUCACAGAUUCUGAGGAUUAAGACACAGAUUAUAUCUUUGGGAGCCAUUGUCAGCCUGCCACACUAAUUUCUGGCCUAUGGCAUAUGACCAGAAGUAAUGUACACCGCUUCCAGGCCUGACCCAUGAAAACUUCCCAGUUCAAACAAAAGCAGGAAAAAAAAAAAAGAAUAACAUAAAGCAAACGUGGGGACUUCUCUGCUGGCGCAGUGGUUAAGAAUCCGCCUGCCAACGCAGGGGACACGGGUUCGAGCCCUGGUCUGGGAAGAUCCCACAUGCCGCGGAGCAACUAAGC